rnacentral:lncRNA from 1 species
AAAAAAAAAAGGGGUCUGAUUUUUUUGACCCGUUUUGGGGCGUUUUCGACCCAUAAAACCACAAACUUGAUCCGCUUGUAUCUCCUUCAUCCGAUCUCCGUUUUGGGUGAUCUUGGUGUCUAUGGAAAGCUCUUGACGAGCCCUACAACUCUGUAUGUUAGAUUUUCCAUUUUAUUAUCCAUUUUUCCAGUUCGAGGCAGCAAAGUCCCGUGGGUUUUCCGGCGGUUUUGUCAUUUUCCGGCGAUUCCGGCAACCAUUUCCUUCAAGUGAGGUAUGAAACUUCAUCUCCUCUUCAUAAUCUUCAAGUUGGUAUGCUUAGUUUGUGCUUUCGUAUUCAUUUUAGAGUUGGGUGUGUAGAACCUUAGAAAUCCGGUUUUCACCGGUGAUUUUGGUCGGUUUCCGGUUAGAAUUUGUCAUUGGCCUAGUUGUGAAAAGUGUUUCUCUUGCUGAGCUCUAACUACCACGUAAAUUUGAGCUUAUUUAGUUAAUGUUGAAAAUUUGGGGUUUCUAAACCCUCCACCUUAACUAACCCGCGUGUGGCGGUGCGUGGGAUCGUCCACGAGUGUUGUCUAAGUACCAAAUACCUUUUAGUGAUCCUGUAAACCUAUGUCUAACUCGGUUUCCCGAAAUUCAAUUGUUUGGUGUGGUGAUCAAAUUGGACCAUCACUUAUUUGUGUGAUUGAUGACAAUCCGAUCGUUGGUUCGUUGUACAAUUUUGUGAACACCCUAGUUGUCAGUUGUUGGACCUUUGAGAACUUACAGAUCGAAAAUCCGAUGUGCGGAUCUUCCGGAUUGAAUAACCUUAGGUUGUUGACCUUAAUGGACCUACCUUAUCGACUGUUGAUGUUCUAGUCAACGUGCUCUACUCUAGGGUGUCGCUUAUCUCUAGUUUGUUGUUGAUGGAGCUUAGUUGGUUCAUCACGAUGACGUGUCGUUUCCAGUUGACGUGUCUCGAUAUAUGUAUUAGCGGCACCAUAUUGAGUUAUACUUGUUUAUUAAAUGUACUUUCUAUUGAAUUGUUAUCUUUAUUUUUUUUAGCAUCGAUCUAUGUUUAUUAAUUGUGAAUCGACUGUAGCUUGGAAACGUUUAUGAAAUGUGGUUAGAUAUGUAUGAUUAGUAUGAUGUAUAUGAUUGUUUUUAGGGAACUUUAACGAAAACACCCGGUAAUGUUCACUUUAACGAAAAACCACAUUUUUACACUAAAAAGUCAAUCUUGGUACUAUUCACUUUACCCUUUAUUUUGUCCUUAUCAUUAAAACUCAAAGUUUUCAAACCCUUUUCAUUAGUUUUCCUUUGUUUUUAUGACGAUGUGAACCCAAAAUCUUAUGAGAAGUUUAUGUAGAACUUUUAUGCUUGUAUGAUAAGAUAGUGGUCAUGAGAAGUUGAUAGUGUAAGUGAUUACGAUGUAAAUCAUAACGGAUGAGAUAAGGGUACGUGGGUUGUGUGUUGAUCUUACUACUCCAUGUAGUAGUUAUACAUUGAUGGUCCUGCUUGGUAUAUCCGCAUUGGGGGGGUCACUAGAGGUCAUGCUUGGUUAAUCCGCAUUGGGGGACCUUACUAUAUAUGGAUCGCGCUUGGUUAAUCAACGUUGGGCGAUCUUUAUGGCCAUGUAUGCUUAAGAGCGAUCAUGCUUGGUAAAUCCUCAUUGGGUGAUCACUUUCUAACAGUUGUAAGAGUGACUUUGCUUGGUUAAUUCGCAUUGGGGGGGGCCACUUCCUAUUUGGUUACUUAUGUAGGCUUCGGCCGAACCGCGUCCCUCUAACCCUAGUUUUUAAUGCACUUAUGAACGAUGGUUUUUGGGAAUUUUGGUUGGUUGAAUGGAUGUUGGGUGACUCCUACGGAGUUUUCAAUGACUUGAUUAUGAUUCCAUAAAGCAUGAUUCUAUACUUGAUGUUUAUAGAUUGUGAUCGAUGGUAUGUUUUUAUUGAAUAUCUCAUACUUGAAUUAUUGUCACUCACCCGAGCUCCGCAGCUUAUCUGAGUUCCGUUUGGCCAGUGCACCAUUUCCAUGAUGUAGGCAUUGAUUUUACCUAUAACAGGUCUGAGUAGAUUGUGAGAAACCGCUUGAUAUUUUGGUUCCGUUGAGCGGUCUGGAACCCGAUGUUGUUGGAUUCCGUUGAGUGGUCCGAAAUCCUUACUUUCGCUAAUUCCCAUAAGAUUAGUCUAGAACCCUAGAUUCGAGUGAAUGGGAAUUACCCACAAUGGAUCUUGUGAAUACAAAUUAGAAUUACCAUGUUAUUAUUCAUAACCCAAGUAGGGAAUUAUGUAGAGUUCUUUAAUUAAAUUCGUGAAAUGAUAUGCUAUCUCACUGAUUGAUUAACGUAAUUAAAUAUUAAUAUUGUGCUUCGUGAUUCCUUGAUAUGUUACAAGCUAUAGAUUGAGAUAUAAUGUUGGAAACAUAGUGAUUGGUAUGAUGUAGUGAAAUGUGAUUUGACUUGUGUAUUGGAAAUGGUUGUGACAUGUGAUUGAAAUGCUUAUUGAAUUGCUUGGGUGAUGUGAGGUCUGGUAAUAGACCGAUAACCCAUUGUGAUAGGGAUUUGUUGCUCGAUAUUGUUUCGUUUCGUUUAGUCUUCGUGAAUUGACUAACUUGAAUCAUGUCUUGUUCCUUUGAGCCGUAGUUAUGCUUCUUGGACUUCCGUUCGGUUCUGUUGAGUGGUCCAGAACUAAGUUCUGCUUGGAUCGUUGAAUGAUGGUCCGGAAUCCCUUCUACUCCGCGAUUCCGUUGAGUGAUGGUCCGGAGUCCCCUUUGGUGCUUUGAUUAUGUUGGAUGGUCCAAAAUUCCCUUUCCAGAAAUGUAGUUUUCGGCCAAACUGUGUCGCUCUAGCCCUUCAUUUCGGUCUAUGAUAUGUGAUAUUGAUUGAUGUGAUUAUGAAUGAUGUUGGUUGUGAUUGUUGCCAUUAUGAUUAGACUUGUUGACCAAUGUGGCUAGAUAAUAACAUUGUGCUUCGUUGACCGUUCUUUGAGAUGUUGCAUACUAUGAUUUGCGGUGAUAUGUGAAACAUGAUGAUUUAUGUGAUGGAUGAAGUGGAAAUGUUAAUCGUCAUGUGGGAUUGUUAUGUUGGAUGUCAUUGUAUUUGUUAUGAUUAGACUUGUUGAUAAAUAUGGCUAGAAAAUAUGUUGUGUUUCGUCAUUGUUCUUUGAUAUAUCGCAUAAUAUGCAUUGUGGUAUAUUGUUGGGACAAAACGUUUUAUGUGAUGGAUAUUCGAUUGUAGUGAAACAAUAAACUAUAAAUGGCUUGAUCCCUAUUGAGGGUACGUAGGCAGUCUAACGAGGAGGUUAGAUGCAGCCAUAAAAUAUACAAAAAUUUCUAUGAGAUUUGGAUCUUGAAUUAUGCUAUGUACAUAUCUCGGAGGCGGGGUAGGUUGAGAUACGGGUAUUUGGUGACGUCAUGUGUUGAUCCUGGACGUAUGUCGGGAUCGGGGCGUGACAGAGCACUCAAACAACUCACAUAACCCUCCUAGCAAAACCCUAUCCAACCCCCUUUGCUACGUUCAAUCGACUCCAACCCAAGGGAAAUAGUAUGUUUCCUUAAUUGCCCCUACAGUUAGUCUCAUAUGCCUCGCAUGUGACUGAUUUUAAUAGAACCAUUGACAGUGUUAGUGAAAAAGACCAUAGCUACACAUUUUGACGAGUUAAGGAACUAAUGGUCAUGAAAAUAAAGUUGAAGGACCAUUGCUAAAAUUUGCCUCCUUUUUUUUUAUAAAUACCUAACCAUGUCCUUUCACUUUUACACUACAUUUCAAUAUUUCAAAUACUUUCUACCAAUCUUUUAUUAUUAUCCGAAAUUAAUAAUAAAGUUAGUUAUCUUUCAUUAUUUUAUAAAAUAAAAAUUAAUAUUAUUUUAAUACGUAUUGUUUAGGUUAUUUAGCUUAUGAGUGGAGAUGCACUUAGACAGUUACUGCGCAUUUAAAAAGAUUGAGUUGCCUAUUUUCCAAAGAGGCCUUGCUACACUAGAAGUGCUCGAAGAGAGCGAGAGGUAAUAUUGCAGAAGUGCUGAUUUGCUUGGAGGACGAGGGAAGCAUGUUUGGUAACAAGUAGAUUCAAUGUCUUGCAUUAUAUGUGUGAUAUUCCUCUAACAAAAGCAAUGUUUUCUCUUGCACGUAGCAGCAAAUUAAGUGCUCAAUUUCUUUCUUUGACAAAAUUUAAACAAUAAAAAUAAAAAAUAGUGCUUAAUUUCUUUCAUUUUUAUUCUUUACAGUUUUGGACUCAGCUAAGAGAACAACAAAACUUUAAUAAACAAAAAUGCCGAAAACUCCAAGGAUCAUAUAAAGUUCAACCAAGGAGAUUUGCCCAACACUACUGCAACAAAGACUUAUAAAUUCUGGUAAAAUGUUCAACUAAGGAGAUUUGCAGUAACACUGCCCAACACAUUAACACUAGUGUUCUUUUCUUUUUCUUCAAGAAACCAAAUUCUCGUAGAAUCGGAGUGUAAUUGUUUCUACAAUCUAAUGCAAAACAAGGUUCUAAAGUGAUUAGCCAAAAACACAAUACAAGAUUUUGCUUACAUACUAACCUGUUAAGAAGAGAACGGUAACAAGUAAACGGACACAAAUUCACAAUUUACAAUUGCCAUUGUUUCACCACAACAAUAAAAAAAUGUGUUCAUCUAUUUAUUACUCAUCAAAGGAUUUGUAUCCUCCCUCCAGAAUCUAGACCUAAAUUACCUUUUCUUUUCGCAAUAUAUAUAUGUAUAUAUGUUAAUCUGCACGUAGACAGAAAAGAAUCAUAGGGAGAAAGGUUUAGUAUACACAUCAAAUGGCUCGCAGGCAGUUAGUUGCGGUUCCUGCCACAAAGCAAAGCAAAGCGACGCAUCAGGCUGUUAGUAUCGUAUGACUAUAAACCAGCAUUUAACUUGAAAACCUAAUAAAUAUUGCGCGAGACAAUACCUGUUUUAGCCCGCCAGUAGCACUGCCUCCUGUCAGAAGCAUGCUGACUAGGGAUGUCACAGCACCACCGCCGCCGCCGCCACCACCACCAAGGAGAGAUGUUAAUCUGCCGCCACCACCACCACCACCACCCGUACCCGUACUUCGAAUGGUAGAGCGCAUAGAAUUGAGUAUGCUUCCAUAGGUACUCGCUUGUCCACGCUCGAUUGCUUGGAUGAAGCAGAAGGUCAUAGCACCUGUUGAUGUGAUCUUCGAUAGAGCCUGUGCCCGUAAAGCAUUAGAUCAGAUAAUGUUCUAGUAGGAGUUUAAACUAUAGUUUUACCAACUCUAUUUUUUCCCCCAAACUUACUGAUGUAUCAGCAGACGUUUGAUCAUCAUCACAACCACUGAAGGAAAUGACUUCUCCACCGCCUGAUCCUUUCCACAUGCCUGAUGGAGGGCGAUGAUCCUCCCAUACAUAUCGUCCGCCCCUAAAUCAAGAAGCGAAAUUAUCUAUCAUAAGAAAUCCUAUUUUAGAUGAGGAGUAAUCAAGUAGGUAGACACAUUGAAAAUCAGGGGAAGAACACAAUAGAAUUCGAGAAUGAUGACAAUACUCAUAAACACCAUGUUUAACUGGACAUUAUAAGAUCAUCCAUGCAUAAGUUCAGAUAACGGAACAAUAGUGAAAGUUCUGCCUUUAGCAUAUGGAAACUGGCAAAUUCAUGGACUCAAACUAUAACAGCAGGAACUUAAAGAAAAGACUUUUUUAAGGAUUUGGUUCCCCAUUUCUUUUAAAUAGUUUGAAGUCUUUGCUCGAAAGGGCCACAAGGCAAAUGCCUAAGUGUCCACCCUCUGAACUGGCCAUUUUUCGGCAGGUCUAGCAUGAUUACUAGAUGGAAGUCCAUCCCACCAAAAGUAUAAUGUUCAGAAAUGGCAAUUGUUGAUUUUUCAUAUGGUUCCAGUUACUAAUGAGAUGAUACACAUGCAUACCUGACAAAUGUUAAUCUACAUAUCAGGAUCAAAAUUACUGAAAACUAACCUGUCCAUUCUGCAAAGGAAGGGCAAAUCUAGCACGGUGCCACUAUGACAAGCAUCAAUUAUUGCAUGAAGCUUAACCCCGGGUGGAAGGGGCCUUACAAUUGCUG